GUGUCAGCCGCCGCGGUAAGACGGAGGGUGCAAGCGUUAUUCGGAUUUAUUGGGCGUAAAGAGCGUGUAGGCGGCCGGUCAAGCCAGAUGUGAAAGCCCAGGGCUUAACCCUGGAAGUGCAUUUGGAACUGGUUGGCUUGAGUUCGGGAGAGGGAAGUGGAAUUCCGGGUGUAGAGGUGAAAUUCGUAGAUAUCCGGAGGAACACCGGUGGCGAAGGCGACUUCCUGGACCGAAACUGACGCUGAGACGCGAAAGCGUGGGGAGCAAACAGGAUUAGAUACCCUGGUAGUCCACGCUGUAAACGAUGGGCGCUAGGUGUGGGGGGUUUUUAAUCCCUCCGUGCCGCAGCUAACGCAUUAAGCGCCCCGCCUGGGGAGUACGGCCGCAAGGUUAAA
rnacentral:rRNA from 1 species